AAUGUUGCAAGUACGAGGAGGGCAAAUCUUGUCGGUCAACAACUGAAACAAAGCGUUGCUUUUGUUCUGGUCUUGUCCUCUCGUUUCUAUCGGCCCCAAUUUUCUCCACACCUUUCUCUCUCCUUCUCUCUCUCCAAACAACAAAGGAGGGUUCACAUCAGCCAUUGGGUUUACUCCUUUUCUUCUUCUUCUUCUUCUCUGAAAACUCAAUCACUCAAUCAGAUCUUCUCUCAACAGUUUCAACACAUAUUUAUUCAAACCCUUACCCAAAGGUUUCUCUUCAACGAUUAUAGUCCAAGCUUGCAUGCUCAAGAGGAUUUAUUUGGUUUAUACAAGACAAUUUAGUGUGGGCCUCAAUGGGAUCAAUGCUCUCAUGCAUGGGAUGGCAGUCUUCUUGAGGGGAAUGAAGGACGUUAGUGAGGAUUUGUGUUACUUGUUCACAGUUAACACUAGGGGGUAUAGCAAAUGCAAGUGAUGGACCUUUCCUCCAAAUUGAUGGUUGAGACAUAGGAUUGAUGGAGUUUAACUCUAGCAGGAUAUUAUCUGUGUACAGAAGCUAACUUUCAGUAUAUCUGCAACCGAUAUUUGAAAUGGA